rnacentral:rRNA from 1 species
CCCUUAGAUGUUCUGGGCCACACGCGCGUUACACUGAUGAAGCCAGCGAGUAUAUCGCCUUCACCGGAAGGUGCGGGUAAUCUUGUGAAACUUCAUCGUGCUGGGGAUAGACCAUUGCAAUUAUUGGUCUUGAACGAGGAAUUCCUAGUAAGCAUGAGUCAUCAACUCGUGCUGAUUACGUCCCUGCCCUUUGUACGCACCGCCCGUCGCUACUACCGAUUGAAUGGUUUAGUGAGAUCUCGGGAUUGGAGACGUUGCGCCGCAAGGCACAUCGUCCUCGAGAACUUGAUCAAACUUGAUCAUUUAGAGGAAGUAAAAGUCGUAACA